AUUGAACGCUGGCGGAAUGCUUUACACAUGCAAGUCGAGCGGCAGCGCGGCCUUCGGGCUGGCGGCGAGCGGCGAACGGGUGAGUAAUGCAUCGGAACAUGCCCAGUCGGGGGGGAUAACACUUCGAAAGAAGUGCUAAUACCUCAUACGUCCUGAGGGGGAAAGCGGGGGAUCGCAAGACCUCGCGCGAUUGGAGUGGCCGAUGUCAGAUUAGCUAGUUGGUGGGGAAAGGGCCUACCAAGGCGACGAUCUGUAGCUGGUCUGAGAGGAUGAUCAGCCACACUGGGACUGAGACACGGCCCAGACUCCUACGGGAGGCAGCAGUGGGGAAUUUUGGACAAUGGGGGCAACCCUGAUCCAGCCAUUCCGCGUGAGUGAAGAAGGCCUUCGGGUUGUAAAGCUCUUUCGGCAGGAACGAAACGGUGGGCUCUAACAUAGUCCGCUAAUGACGGUACCUGAAGAAGAAGCACCGGCUAACUACGUG
rnacentral:rRNA from 1 species